AGUAUGGGAUAGCCACUGGAAAUGGUGGGUAAUACCGUAUAAUCCCCGCGGGGGAAAGAUUUAUCGCUAUUAGAUGAGCCUAUGUCGGAUUAGCUAGUUGGUGGGGUAAUGGCCUACCAAGGCAGUGAUCUGUAGCUGGUCUGAGAGGAUGAUCAGCCACACUGGAACUGAGACACGGUCCAGACUCCUACGGGAGGCAGCAGUGGGGAAUAUUGGACAAUGGGCGCAAGCCUGAUCCAGCUAUGCCGCGUGAGUGAGGAAGGCCUUAGGGUUGUAAAACUCUUUCAGUAGGGAAGAUAAUGACGGUACCUACAGAAGAAGUCCCGGCAAACUCCGUGCCAGCAGCCGCGGUAAUACGGAGGGGGCAAGCGUUGUUCGGAAUUAUUGGGCGUAAAGGGCAUGUAGGUGGUUUGGUAAGUUAAA
rnacentral:rRNA from 1 species